rnacentral:lncRNA from 1 species
UUCGUGAAUUUUGUACCUUUAUUUCAAAUCGCAUCAGCAACACUGAUGUGUUUACUGUCCUCUCUGCUUUUUUUCUUUCUUCUAACACAUUUACACAAUGCCUUGUCUGCUAAUCUGUCACGUCAGCCCCCGUCAAAAAAAAAAUCUGUCACGUCAGCCAGAGAGUUUUCUGUCUUCUGAAAUACCUUCCAAAAAGAGUGCUGGUACGGUGCAGGUUCCCAAAUUCUCUUCGUCUGUUCAUGGUUGGAUCUGGUGAUGCUCCUUGUGCACAUUCGGAAGGCGCCAACAAACGCUUCUUUUGUCUUUGGCAAUAACUGAUCCAUCAUGCAUGCAUGCAUGCCAUCUUGUGUCCGGGGGCAAAACGCAUGAAGAGCGCAACGCGACGAUACCACCCUAUUGGCCUAUUUAUAUUCUCGCAAAUCAAUUAGCCACGUACCUCUUGCCAAAGUAUAAAGAGAAAAAUGUGCACUAAAGAAAACUAAAGUGCUCGGUUAAAAGAAAAGUAAAAAAAAAA